rnacentral:rRNA from 1 species
GAUGAACGCUGGCGUCGUGCCUAAUCCCUGCAAGUCGAGCGAACAGACGCGGUGGUUGCUCCUCUGACGUUAGCGGCUGAGGGGUGAGUAACAUGUGGAUAACCUACCUAUAAUACUUGGAUAACUUCGGUAAACCGGAGCUUAUACCGGCUCAUCUCUUGAACCGCAUGGUUCAAUAGUGAAAGCCGGUUUUGCUGUCUCUUAUUGAUGGAUCCGAGCUGCAUUAGCUAGGUGGUAAGGUAACGGCUUACCAAGGCAACGAUGCGUAGCCGACCUGAGAGGGUGAACGGCCACACUGGAACUGAGACACGGUACAGACUCCUACAGGAGGCAGCAGUAGGGAAUCUUCCGCAAUGGGCGAAAGCCUGACGGAGCAGCGCCGCGUGAGUGAUGAAGGUCUUCGGAUCGUAAAACUCUGUUAUUAGGGAAGAACAAAUGUGUAAGUAACUAUGCACGUCUUGACGGUACCUAAUCAGAAAGCCACGGCUAACUACGUG